rnacentral:lncRNA from 1 species
CCCGCCCGGCCCCAACGGCCCCAACUCCCGUCUCCUCCCAGUCCCCCGGAGCCGACCAGUGGUGGCGGCAGCCCCAGGUCCCGGGUCCCUCAGACAAAAAGGCGGGUGGAGGAGGAGUAGCCGAGCCCAGAGUCCUGCUCCGGCGCCGCCGAGCACCGCCCGCCUCAGCCGACCAGCCCCGUCGGCUACUGGGCCUAGCCUAGAGGAGAGGAGGGAAAGGCCGCGGAGGCCGCGAGGAGACGGCUGGGGCGCCAGCGGCCGGCUGCCGCCUAGUUGUGCUGCCCGGACCAAGGAAGGAGAAGUGGGAGGAGCGGGGAGCUCAGCGGCUCAGGACGACGACGCUCGCCACAUCCGGGACCCUCCGGCCGUGGCGGUCGCAGCGCCGGCAGCUCGGGCCUCAGCCCCUGCCUCUGUGGUGACUCCGCCGCGCUUCGACGUCGCCCCUGUCCCCGUCCCGCCCGCCGCCCCCGCCAACCCCGCCGCCGGGGACAUGUCCAACCCCUGAAGCCGGAGGAACGGGCCAGUCAGACUGCGCCCGACAGGAGGUGAAGUGAAAUCUGCAAGAGUCCUGCUCGUUCAAGGCCUGCAUACAGGAAAGAAGCAGGGGAAAAGCGUUAGAAACAGCUUUUGUUCUACAGCAUUUUAAAAUAUAAUAGGUAUAUUGAAAAGUCUGAUUCAGUUACAAUCAGUGUAUGGAAUCACAAGAAGAUCCAUAAGAAACAAGGUGCUGGAUUUCUCCGUUGUGUUCGUCUUUUUCCAGUGCCAUCAACCACCUCAAAGACACUGGUUAUCAGAGGUUGGAUUUAUGCAAACUUGGGCCAAAGGACAGUUAGAAGACAGUAGUAAGUCUUCAGUCCAGGGACCAAAUCGGCACAGGAGGACAAGUUGUGGACUGCAGUCAUUUAUUUGAUAAUGAUUUACCAGACAACUGAAGAAGCAUCUGUAGGGAAUCCAGAAGGAGCAUUCAUGAAGAUGUUACAAGCCCGGAAGCAGCACAUGAGCACUGAGCUGACUAUUGAGUCGGAGGCGCCCUCAGACAGCAGUGGCAUCAACUUGUCAGGCUUUGGGAGUGAGCAGCUAGACACCAAUGACGAGAGUGAUGUUAGCAGCGCACUAAGUUACAUCUUGCCUUAUCUCUCACUGAGAAAUCUAGGUGAUCAGCUUGAAAUUCAGCUAACCGAGCAGCUACGGUCCCUCAUCCCCAACGAGGAUGUGAGAAAGUUCAUGUCUCAUGUUAUCUGGACCUUGAAAAUGGAAUGUUCAGAAACACAUGUGCAAGGGAGCUGUGCCAAGCUCAUGUCGCGAACAGGCCUCCUGAUGAAGCUUCUCAGCGAGCAGCAGGAAGCAAAGGCAUUGAAUGUAGAAUGGGAUACGGACCAACAAAAAACAAAUUAUAUUAAUGAGAACAUGGAACAGAAUGAACAGAAAGAGCAGAAGUCAAGUGAGGUGAGGAGCACACAGAAACAUGAGACCCAGAUUUCCCAUCAUUUAGCAUAUGCCAGGAAAGUGCCCACAUAGGAGAACCUGGGACUCCCAGGCCAUAGCUU